GGCGGCGGUAAGGCGGUAAAGCGGUAAGGCGGGGGGGAAGGUACCUAACGCAGCAGCAGCAGCGAGCGUCCCGCGGCGGCGGCGGACGAUCGUAAAACAAACUCGGCCGGAUGGGAGUUUAAGGCAAAUUAGAGGAUGUAUGAUGACAAAUCCUAGAAUUACUAGUAAAUGGCAACCUAAUCAAAGGCUUCGAAUCAAAUAUGGAAUACCGGCAAUGCAAAACAAAGCAAUUCUUGGCAACAAAACAAAUUCUUGGUCGACUCGUGAAGACUUUGAAAUAAACAAUAGAAUUCAGUAAAGAUGAAUCAUCAUCAUGCUAUGCAAAGGGCCUAAUCAG